rnacentral:pre_miRNA from 1 species
UUAACUCAAAUUUGUAUGGAGAUUGAGCGUUUACAUACGUUUGCCGCUAGGGGCGCUGUUCCAACUGCGUUCAAAUUUGAGUUA